rnacentral:lncRNA from 1 species
UAACCCCACCUCCCCCCCGCCGCUCCUCUCAUGUUCCGCCGACCGACCCACACUCGGGGACAACUAUCAGAGGCAUUACGACAGUCCCCACUGUCUCGCUGAAAAAUAAACCCGCAAACCAACUGCGGCGACGUGGGCGCGGAAGGCUCAGAGCACCCCCAGCCCUCAGCUCAAGGCGGGGGUGUCUGGAGGGCUCGGGGCUGUCCGAACUUCCAGAGCAAAGGAAGUGUUGGGCCGCGGGGGGAGGACCCAGAGGGCUGCUGCCUCCGUCGUCAUUAGCGGCAGCGAUCAGCAGCGGGGAUGUGUUUUCCUUCUCUUCCCCCUAUCCCCGCAGAGCCGGGUGGAAGGUGCAGCGGCAAACAAAGAACCCCUCGAGGAGGGACCGGGAAGCUCGGCCGCCCUGAAAGAAACGAGUUGUCAUUGUGACUUGCCCCGUUGUUACGCCGACUUCCUCGACGUGGCCGGGCUCGCCCCUACCGCCGCCAAUUUUUCAACCCUGGAUGGGGAGCGCGGUCGCCCCGACCCUUUUAGCCCUAGAGGCGCUGCCCGGGGGAAGCCCGGCGGAACAGAACGGAGGGACGAGGGGCGGUUGUCCCCAGCCCGGGGGCUUAGCGCCUAGGGGGCCACACAUCUCUUCCUUGAAGCACGGGGGGGGANNNNNNNNNNNNNNAGCUGUAACACUGCCUGCAGGAAUCCUUUCCGUCUCUGAGAGUUAGUUCAACUUCUUUUCCCUCGUCAGUUGGACGCAGCGAGCUUUCACCUCCGUAUGCCCAAGAGGGAGGGGGAACUCCCCAACACUGCACUCCCCUGGCUCCAAAAUCUCACCCUCAGAGCAGGAGAGCGACCCUCAGACAAAGCUGAAUGGGGCUUGGGAACUGUAGCGAGGUUUGGCGGCUGGCAGAGUCGCGUUACAAGGACUGCAGAUCCUAAGGAAAAGGAGCGCGGUGCGAACUCAUUAGCGCCGAGGAGUCCCUUAGCGAAGGAGGAACUGGGAUCAGAGUGGGACACUGUCACCUUUCCGCUGGGGAGCGGGCGCCCGUCUGAAAGCAAGCGGGAGAGAAAUAGAUAG